CCGUCGUCGGGUUACGGAUGUUGUAGGAAUUCGGUUUUACCAGGAGAACACUGUAUAACUGCGCUAUUAUUACAGUUACGUCGAUCUUUGGAUGCUGCAGAAUGAUUUCAAAGAUGCAGGUGGUUAGUUUUAUGCAGUUCACCUGCUCACGGCUUUAUUUCGACUAGGGCAUCGCCUUUCCGAGGCCUCUGACUUAUCUGUGGGCCUUAAGUGCAGCAGAACGAGUUUGUGAGGACUGUUAGUACACAGAUUGUACUAGAACGGAGUGGCAACCUGAUAGUUAUAAUCAUAAAAUUGAAGGCGCGACAUGAUUAGUUAGUUUGAAUGUUUACAUCAAGAUGCCGAUAUCAAAAUUUUUGGGCAUUUUACGUUAUGUGGUUAUCUCCAGAUGAUUAUGAUGAAUUUUGAGUACAACACCAAAUCGAGCGCCAGGAGGUUUGUCCUAAUUGAUUCGUCGUUUUCGACUGGUAACAUAGUGAUUUGUCUUGAAAUUUGAUACUCAUGCAGAAACUACUUUGUGCGUAAUGGUAAUAUGACUGCCUGUGUGCCGGGGCACGAACGUCCAUCGGACGUUCAUAUCGAUCGCUCAUCCGAAGCGAUAUUCUGUUUAUGGAGCACGUUUUUUGUUUUACGGAUUUUCUUGAAUAGCGAAGAAAUGAACGAUUUACGUUGAAAUAUUGUCGUUGAUUGAAGUGCUCCACUUUGUCACGGUGCCAAUUGCAUAUUUUUUGCGUAUUUUCAAAAACAAAGUGAAUUUAACGUUUGUGCUUCCAAGUAAAAAAAAUUUGAACAAUCCUGCGGAGAAAUCCCGUGUACUGAAGUGGCAAGAUUUCGAAAAAGAGGACGACGAUGCGGACAGUUUGCGAAUGUUAAUGGCCAAGAUGCCACGAAAGAUCGAGUGGUGUAGAGGAAGAUUAGGAAUACAUGUUCGAUGCUUGCUGGUUAGGAAUUUAAAGAAACAGGGAGUUCCUACGAUUGCUGCUGCUGCUGUUGGCGUCGCUAGUACCUAAGGAGAACAAUAAAUUUAGUCAAUCAAUUGUUUUUGGUAUACCAGUUUUUGUAUAGUAGGCCACUUCGCCUUGUCACACGGAUGCGAAAGGAGCGAUAUAGUAAUUCGUCACCAUUCAGUAUACGAUAUUGCCCAACUUGAUUUACAUGGCGAUCGCCACGUUUCUCCCAUAUUCUGAACAAAGCAAACCGUUUAAAAAGCUCCGUUAGCGAAGGUUGAGGUAUUAUUUU